rnacentral:misc_RNA from 1 species
GUGAAUCAUCAAAUUUUUGAACGCAAAUUGCGCUUCCUGGCAUCCCGGGAAGUAUGCCUGUUUGAGGGUCAGUAUUAACAAAAAAUCGGUUUGGUUGCAAAUUGUGACGUUUCAGGAGUUUGGGCUAUCUUAACUUUUUUGGUUAAGGGGCUUAAAAUUUACCUUUUUUGCGCAUUUUUAGACUUACAUAAAUUUUUUUUUAUUUUUUAUUUAUUAAUUCCUAAAUUCUAUUAGAAUCA